rnacentral:rRNA from 1 species
CCUACGGGUGGCUGCAGUGGGGAAUAUUGGGCAAUGGGGGAAACCCUGACCCAGCGACGCCGCGUGAGGGAAGACGGCCUUCGGGUUGUAAACCUCUUUUGUAUGGGAAGAAGGACGUGACGGUACCAUACGAAUAAGUCCCGGCUAACUACGUGCCAGCAGCCGCGGUAAUACGUAGGGGACGAGCGUUGUCCGGAAUUACUGGGCGUAAAGGGCGCGCAGGCGGUUUGUCAAGUCAGCUGUUAAAAAUGGGGGCUUAACCCUCAUAUGCUGUUGAAACUGGCAGACUGGAGUGCUGUAGAGGCAAGUGGAAUUCCCAGUGUAGCGGUGAAAUGCGUAGAUAUUGGGAAGAACACCGGUGGCGAAGGCGACUUGCUGGGCAGCAACUGACGCUGAGGCGCGAAAGCCAGGGGAGCAAACGGGAUUAGAUACCCCAGUAGUC